rnacentral:rRNA from 1 species
GUAACACUAACUGGAGGACCGAACCGACUAAUGUUGAAAAAUUAGCGGAUGACUUGUGGCUGGGGGUGAAAGGCCAAUCAAACCGGGAGAUAGCUGGUUCUCCCCGAAAGCUAUUUAGGUAGCGCCUCGUGAAUUCAUCUCCGGGGGUAGAGCACUGUUUCGGCAAGGGGGUCAUCCCGACUUACCAACCCGAUGCAAACUGCGAAUACCGGAGAAUGUUAUCACGGGAGACACACGGCGGGUGCUAACGUCCGUCGUGAAGAGGGAAACAACCCAGACCGCCAGCUAAGGUCCCAAAGUCAUGGUUAAGUGGGAAACGAUGUGGGAAGGCCCAGACAGCCAGGAUGUUGGCUUAGAAGCAGCCAUCAUUUAAAGAAAGCGUAAUAGCUCACUGGUCGAGUCGGCCUGCGCGGAAGAUGUAACGGGGCUAAACCAUGCACCGAAGCUGCGGCAGCGACACUAUGUGUUGUUGGGUAGGGGAGCGUUCUGUAAGCCUGUGAAGGUGUGCUGUGAGGCAUGCUGGAGGUAUCAGAAGUGCGAAUGCUGACAUAAGUAACGAUAAAGCGGGUGAAAAGCCCGCUCGCCGGAAGACCAAGGGUUCCUGUCCAACGUUAAUCGGGGCAGGGUGAGUCGACCCCUAAGGCGAGGCCGAAAGGCGUAGUCGAUGGGAAACAGGUUAAUAUUCCUGUACUUGGUGUUACUGCGAAGGGGGGACGGAGAAGGCUAUGUUGGCCGGGCGACGGUUGUCCCGGUUUAAGCGUGUAGGCUGGUUUUCCAGGCAAAUCCGGAAAAUCAAGGCUGAGGCGUGAUGACGAGGCACUACGGUGCUGAAGCAACAAAUGCCCUGCUUCCAGGAAAAGCCUCUAAGCAUCAGGUAACAUCAAAUCGUACCCCAAACCGACACAGGUGGUCAGGUAGAGAAUACCAAGGCGCUUGAGAGAACUCGGGUGAAGGAACUAGGCAAAAUGGUGCCGUAACUUCGGGAGAAGGCACGCUGAUAUGUAGGUGAAGCGACUUGCUCGUGGAGCUGAAAUCAGUCGAAGAUACCAGCUGGCUGCAACUGUUUAUUAAAAACACAGCACUGUGCAAACACGAAAGUGGACGUAUACGGUGUGACGCCUGCCCGGUGCCGGAAGGUUAAUUGAUGGGGUCAGCGCAAGCGAAGCUCUUGAUCGAAGCCCCGGUAAACGGCGGCCGUAACUAUAACGGUCCUAAGGUAGCGAAAUUCCUUGUCGGGUAAGUUCCGACCUGCACGAAUGGCGUAAUGAUGGCCAGGCUGUCUCCACCCGAGACUCAGUGAAAUUGAACUCGCUGUGAAGAUGCAGUGUACCCGCGGCAAGACGGAAAGACCCCGUGAACCUUUACUAUAGCUUGACACUGAACAUUGAGCCUUGAUGUGUAGGAUAGGUGGGAGGCUUUGAAGUGUGGACGCCAGUCUGCAUGGAGCCGACCUUGAAAUACCACCCUUUAAUGUUUGAUGUUCUAACGUUGACCCGUAAUCCGGGUUGCGGACAGUGUCUGGUGGGUAGUUUGACUGGGGCGGUCUCCUCCUAAAGAGUAACGGAGGAGCACGAAGGUUGGCUAAUCCUGGUCGGACAUCAGGAGGUUAGUGCAAUGGCAUAAGCCAGCUUGACUGCGAGCGUGACGGCGCGAGCAGGUGCGAAAGCAGGUCAUAGUGAUCCGGUGGUUCUGAAUGGAAGGGCCAUCGCUCAACGGAUAAAAGGUACUCCGGGGAUAACAGGCUGAUACCGCCCAAGAGUUCAUAUCGACGGCGGUGUUUGGCACCUCGAUGUCGGCUCAUCACAUCCUGGGGCUGAAGUAGGUCCCAAGGGUAUGGCUGUUCGCCAUUUAAAGUGGUACGCGAGCUGGGUUUAGAACGUCGUGAGACAGUUCGGUCCCUAUCUGCCGUGGGCGCUGGAGAACUGAGGGGGGCUGCUCCUAGUACGAGAGGACCGGAGUGGACGCAUCACUGGUGUUCGGGUUGUCAUGCCAAUGGCACUGCCCGGUAGCUAAAUGCGGAAGAGAUAAGUGCUGAAAGCAUCUAAGCACGAAACUUGCCCCGAGAUGAGUUCUCCCUGACUCCUUGAGAGUCCUGAAGGAACGUUGAAGACGACGACGUUGAUAGGCCGGGUGUGUAAGCGCAGCGAUGCGUUGAGCUAACCGGUACUAAUGAACCGUGAGG